UACGGAAGGGGGCUAGCGUUGCUCGGAAUUACUGGGCGUAAAGCGCACGUAGGCGGCUUUCUAAGUCGGGGGUGAAAUCCUGGAGCUCAACUCCAGAACUGCCUUCGAUACUGGAGAGCUUGAGUCCGGGAGAGGUGAGUGGAACUGCGAGUGUAGAGGUGAAAUUCGUAGAUAUUCGCAAGAACACCAGUGGCGAAGGCGGCUCACUGGCCCGGUACUGACGCUGAGGUGCGAAAGCGUGGGGAGCAAACAGG
rnacentral:rRNA from 1 species